CAAUGACAUAGUACAGAAAAGGGCUAAAGGGAACUUUUUAACUGAUACAGUGACAGCUGGAAUGCUACCAGGAACAACUUUGCAUCUGUGUUUUAACACUCAACAGUCUUCCUCGUUUAUCAAGAAUGGUUCACCACCAAAAGAGCAUCCAGCCAACAGAAACAUGUUGUGUAAAUGGCUCAAUGGAUGAAAGUAGACAACGGAGACCGACACAAAUUGUGUGUAGUGACA